rnacentral:rRNA from 1 species
CGUGUCGCGCAUAUCUGCAUAUCAAUAAGCGGAGGAAAAGAAACUAACAAGGAUUCCCUUAGUAACGGCGAGUGAAGCGGGAAGAGCUCAAAUUUGAAAUCUUCAAGGUUCUACCUUGACGAAUUGUAGUUUAAAGAAGUGUUUUCUGUUAGAUGAGUAGCAAAAGUUCCUUGGAAUGGGACAUCAUAGAGGGUGAGAAUCCCGUAUUUGGUUAUUCAUUCUAGCUUUGUGAUACACUUUCAAAGAGUCGGAUUGUUUGGGAAUGCAGUCCAAAAUGGGUGGUAAAUUUCAUCUAAAGCUAAAUAUUGGCGAGAGACCGAUAGCGAACAAGUACCGUGAGGGAAAGAUGAAAAGAACUUUGAAAAGAGAGUUAAACAGUACGUGAAAUUGUCAAAAGGGAAGCGUUUGACACCAGUGUUGUUUUUCCGAAAAUCAAUUACGAAUGGCUUGAUUUUGUGUUGUAUUGACCUUAUCAGCUUUCUUCACUUUUUUCGAGUCUUUCUUAAUGCACUUUUCGGUUAACAAGUCAACAUCAAUUUCUUUUGUUGUAAAAGAGUAUUCGGAAGGUGGCUUUCUUUUCGGAGAAAGUGUUUAUAGCCCUAUACUUCUACAAUCGGAGAGAUUGAGGUCUGCAGCGUAGAUCCUUCGGGGUUAGAUACACUUGUGCUAAGUCGUAGCUUUUCAUAGACAACUUGUUGACUAUGUUUAGUCAUGCGGCUUACUCGCUUGUGCUAUUUUACCUACGCUUAGGAUGUUGACGAUCAGCUGAGCGCG